AUUGAACGCUGGCGGCAUGCCUUACACAUGCAAGUCGAACGGCAGCACGGGUGCUUGCACCUGGCGGCGAGUGGCGAACGGGUGAGUAAUACAUCGGAACAUGUCCUGUAGUGGGGGAUAGCCCGGCGAAAGCCGGAUUAAUACCGCAUACGAUCUACGGAUGAAAGCGGGGGACCUUCGGGCCUCGCGCUAUAGGGUUGGCCGAUGGCUGAUUAGCUCGUUGGUGGGGUAAAGGCCUACCAAGGCGACGAUCAGUAGCUGGUCUGAGAGGACGACCAGCCACACUGGGACUGAGACACGGCCCAGACUCCUACGGGAGGCAGCAGUGGGGAAUUUUGGACAAAGGGCGAAAGCCUGAUCCAGCAAUGCCGCGUGUGUGAAGAAGGCCUUCGGGUUGUAAAGCACUUUUGUCCGGAAAGAAAUCCUUGGCCCUAAUACGGUCGGGGGAUGACGGUACCGGAAGAAUAAGCACCGGCUAACUACGUG
rnacentral:rRNA from 1 species